rnacentral:lncRNA from 1 species
CAUGGUUUUUCUCAACCCAUGAAAAAUGCUGAUAUGCUGACUGCACUGGGAAGAAUGCAAUAUUAAUCACAGUAGAGCUGCAAUUACAAAUGUAAGAUAUUUCAGCUAAGCAGAAAGGAUAGUCUCUCACGCCUAAGGCACUGAUGGGAUGGGUGACCAGAAAAGUGGAUGACCAACUCUGUUCAGAAGACCUUGAUGAUGACAGCAAUAUUUCCACAUAUGGAUUUUCAUUAUGAAACUCUGCCUUGCUUGUGUCUGAAGCAAGGUCUCCUACCAGGCCCUAUUCUACUGCCCAAUGUCUGAACAGCAACUCACAUAUGACAAAUGUACCUUACUGAGCAAUUUUCUUAAAGAUCAUCAGCUUUGUGGUUUAACUAGGAGCAUACCCAGAUGGUGUCUGAUGCC